ACGUAUUGCUUUGUUCGCUGGGUAAAUCGGAGCGCGGGGUGUCCGUUUAUUGUAGACAAUCAGUGUGAUUAGACGUAUAUCCAACCGUGUCUUUGGUACUUUGGUAGACGUUUUUCUACCGUUCGAACUCACGCUUCUAUCGUUAUUUUCAUUUAAUUAUUACAAUUAUUUCAUUGCGAGGGAAGCUUCCAAAUAUUAGAGGCACGCUGCGGUAUUUGAAAGGAUGAGAUGAAAGUCAAAAAGACGCCAUGGUUACUCGAUCAUAGCGGGACGAUAACUGGGAAUUCAAAAUAGUGUUGUACGGACGUCAUGAUGAUUAACAGUGAAUUUGUUAGCUUCUCAUGGAGAUUGGGUUAGGUUUGUUAGAAUGGUAGACUUAUGCAUACGUUUAUAUUAUCUUUUCAUCGGAUCAUUGGUAAUACAAUUACGUAUUUAUUUUAUAAUACAUAAUUUAUUUUAUAAUUGACAUGUAAUAUAAUUAAAUUAACAAAUAAUUUCAUAUUUGAAAAUAGUAAGAUGAAAUUGGAAAAGAUUGUAGAAUGCACUUUGCUAGUUCGAAUAUAUCAAGUUAUUCCUUCGUUCCGAGAAAAAUUUAAACGAAUUAUUUCAUUGUUGUUAUCUAUAUAUAUAUAUCUUAAAUAGAAUUUUGAACGGUUAGAACGUAUACAUAGAUCUUUCUGUUUAUUUCGUAUUGUUUCCUUAAUAGACUUUGGUAAUAAACUUUUUUUUAGUAGAUUUUUUAUUUUGACUUAAUUUAAAGUCGAUUGACUUGAUUUUAUUGUAUGUAUGUAUGUAUGUAAUCUCCUUUAAGAGAUUGCAAUCAGUCAUACUUUGUUGCAUUUCCCGCGUGAAUUUUCUAUAGUAUCGCCAUCUCACGACUUUUGUCAAUAAUUUCUAUUGUUUCUAAAGAAGACGCCAUUACAAGUUUAG